GCCGGCAGCUAGCUCUCUGCAGCUCUCACAUUGUGCCUACUGAAGCUAAACAGGGCUGUGCCUGGUCAGUACCUGGAUGGGAGACCACAUGAUAAAGCCAGGUUGCUGCUAGAU
rnacentral:rRNA from 1 species